rnacentral:rRNA from 1 species
UACGUAGGGUGCAAGCGUUGUCCGGAAUUAUUGGGCGUAAAGAGCUCGUAGGCGGUUUGUCGCGUCUGCUGUGAAAACGCGAGGCUCAACCUCGCGCCUGCAGUGGGUACGGGCAGACUAGAGUGCGGUAGGGGAGAUUGGAAUUCCUGGUGUAGCGGUGAAAUGCGCAGAUAUCAGGAGGAACACCGGUGGCGAAGGCGGUGGUCUGGGCCGGUACUGACGCUGAGGAGCGAAAGCGUGGGGAGCGAACCGG